rnacentral:rRNA from 1 species
CUGGGAGGACCAUCUCCUAAGGCUAAAUACUCUCUAGUGACCGAUAGUGAACCAGUACCGUGAGGGAAAGGUGAAAAGCACCCCGGAAGGGGAGUGAAAUAGAACCUGAAACCGUGUGCUUACAAGUAGUCAGAGCCCGUUAAUGGGUGAUGGCGUGCCUUUUGUAGAAUGAACCGGCGAGUUACGAUUUGAUGCAAGGUUAAGCAGUAAAUGUGGAGCCGUAGCGAAAGCGAGUCUGAAUAGGGCGUUUAGUAUUUGGUCGUAGACCCGAAACCAGGUGAUCUACCCUUGGUCAGGUUGAAGUUCAGGUAACACUGAAUGGAGGACCGAACCGACUUACGUUGAAAAGUGAGCGGAUGAACUGAGGGUAGCGGAGAAAUUCCAAUCGAACCUGGAGAUAGCUGGUUCUCUCCGAAAUAGCUUUAGGGCUAGCCUCAAGUGAUGAUUAUUGGAGGUAGAGCACUGUUUGGACGAGGGGCCCCUCUCGGGUUACCGAAUUCAGACAAACUCCGAAUGCCAAUUAAUUUAACUUGGGAGUCAGAACAUGGGUGAUAAGGUCCGUGUUCGAAAGGGAAACAGCCCAGACCACCAGCUAAGGUCCCAAAAUAUAUGUUAAGUGGAAAAGGAUGUGGCGUUGCCCAGACAACUAGGAUGUUGGCUUAGAAGCAGCCAUCAUUUAAAGAGUGCGUAAUAGCUCACUAGUCGAGUGACACUGCGCCGAAAAUGUACCGGGGCUAAACAUAUUACCGAAGCUGUGGAUUGUCCUUUGGACAAUGGUAGGAGAGCGUUCUAAGGGCGUUGAAGCAUGAUCGUAAGGACAUGUGGAGCGCUUAGAAGUGAGAAUGCCGGUGUGAGUAGCGAAAGACGGGUGAGAAUCCCGUCCACCGAUUGACUAAGGUUUCCAGAGGAAGGCUCGUCCGCUCUGGGUUAGUCGGGUCCUAAGCUGAGGCCGACAGGCGUAGGCGAUGG